UUAGAACAUAGUCUGACUUAAUCUCAGGUUUAGACAGUUCGGGUUAAUAAGUAUUAAAUUGGGUAUGUAUGUAGGAGAUGACUGAAUAUGCUGUUUUCUUGUCUGGAUUCGAUGAAGGGGUGCUAUAUUGACCACCGGGAGACUAUUCGCAGAGAUUUGGAACAUUGCUCAGUUUCUGUUGAUUAUAUACAUUUCAGUUCUGAUAGAUUAGACAUACAAAAUGUCUAAUGGCAAAUAUUUCAAGGUGAACAAGAAAGAACUGUGCAAGGAUAAGGUAGAGAAGUACAGGCAGUGCCACAAGGUCAUUGGCUGUGAAACGUCUGUCACACAGAACCCAAGCUUUUGUCCCUCGUCAGUGACACUUCAGAAAAGGAGCAUAUAUAUCAGCGGUGAAAGGAUGGGUUGGCAAGGCUUUUAAACUUCACAAAACUAAAAACAAGUACAAAAGAACUAGAAAUCACUGUACCCCAUGUAAGGCUGGAUAUACUUCUGCAGAACUUGCACAAGCGUGUGUGUGUGUGUGUGUGUGUGUGUGUGUGUGUGUGUGUGUGUGUCUACAUGCAGGCACCUGCUGAGACCCCAUGUAAGGCUGGAUAUACUUCUGCAGAACUUGCACAAGCGUGUGUGUGUGUGUGUGUGUGUGUGUGUGUGUCUACAUGCAGGCACCUGCUGAGACCAGGGGUGUCAGAUCCUUCUGGAGCUGGGUUGUAGCUGAGUGUGAGUGUGAGCUGCUUGCUAGACAUAUGACUGCUGGAAAACAGACACAGGUCCUCUGAAUGAGAGAUACACACACACUUCAACUGCUGACUCAUCUCCCUAACCCUAGUCAGUUUUUAAAUUACAUGCCCAAAUAUGCCUUUUGCUGAAGUUGCCCUAGAAACUUCAGUUCUGUUUAUGUGGUUGCCUUAAAUCCUUGGAAUUUUAAGCGUUAAGGAUGAACUAAGAUCUUAUUCUUAUGCUGAAAAAUCGUUUUCUCAUUUCUAACAGGUUAUUUUCUUUUUAACAGACAGCAUAUGUUUCACUAGUUAGAAAAGCAUUUCUUUGAAAUAUUAUCUCAUAUCUUUGUAAUAAUUAAAUUUGAAUUUAAGACUUAAAUAGCCAGGUUAUGAGGAGUAUGGAUUUGUUUUGCUUUAAGAUUUAUUUCAUUUUUAAAUAUGAAUGCAUGUGAGACUGGGCAUGUUUGUGCAGGUGCUUGCAGAAGCCAGGAGUUAGCCUUGGAUCCAGGGGGUGGAGUUUCAGGUUAUUGUGAGCUGCCUCUGGUGGGUGCUGGGAAUUAAACUUAGGUGCUCUACAGGAACAGUAUACACUGAUGAACCAUAUCCAGCCUCCUGAAGAUAGAUUUAUUUCUCAAAAACUUGUAGAGUGAUGAAGAUCUUAAGGACUGAGGUUCUUAAGAAAAUCAGAAUAUUUUAGGAAAAAGAAGUGGAAGUAUACAACCUCCCUUCACUUGGUGAUUAUGAAAGUGACAGUUUGACUUUCUUUGAUGAGCUUUAAUUUUCAGUUUCAUGACAAUUUGUGUUAACUUGGUGUAGAUAGAUAGGGAGGUAGUGCUGCCAAAUUUAUUUCUGAUACAGCACACUUCUGUGUAGGUGCUACUUAGGGGAAUUUAAAUGCUAGCCUGUUAGACAGGUUCACUGGUCAGCCUUCAUAAUACUGGCUAGUAUGUCACGCAUAAUAUUGCCACUGUUUGUACUAGGCUAAUUUUCCUACACACUUCCACCCUCUGACUUGGUGGACAUUUUAUAUGCCUGCUCUUUUGUACUGUUCCUGCACAGCAGAAUGAAAGCUUUAUAAAAGAAAGAUAUUUACGGUUUCACUCAAUAGCUUGAAUGAUGCUUAGCAUGUAGAGGUAAAUUGAUCAACUUUAAGACUAUUGUUAGUAAAGUAUAUUAGUAAAGGAAAUUAUUUUGUUGUGAAUUAGCCCAUUGCAAUUUUUAAAAUUCUAAGUCCAGUAACAUCAAGUGUUAUGAUUUAAAAUAUAUAAUUACAUGCAUGAUGGGUGCGGUAGUGAUGGCAGCUAGAGGCUGACUUUGUGGUGUCAGUUUGGUUUUCUCUUUCUGCCAUUGAGGGAGCUUCCAGGGAUUAAACUCAGGUUGCUAGGAUUGCAUGGCAAGCGUCUUUACCUGCUUAGCCAGUCUCAGCCCUAGGGAUUAGUUUUUAUAUUUUCAUUGUUCAGGAUCCUACAAAUUGUUUCUGAUAGGUAAUUCUGUACCUGGAUACAACACUGGGGUUAAUAGAAAAAUGAAGAUCCUACACGUGAUGCUCCAUACUCUGUCCUUCCCAUACGAGCAGACAAGCAGGUGGAAUGGGCCUGCUCCAAAUGUCAGCGCAGGCCAACCGGCAGAAUGGUGGUGUAAUGUCUUUAAGGUGAAAACCAAGAGUGUUGUAGUUGAGUCCAAGAACCUUCUCAUCUGUCGUAGUAAUCUUACUAGCACUUUCUUCUUAGGAAAGACACUAUUCGUGUCACUGCCCAUUUGGUUGGCAUCUGUUUAAGGUAAAAGGUAACCAUUUAAAACUGGCUCCUACCUUGAAUAAGGGCCAGUAGCCACCUGACUAAAGUGGUAAUAAAACACUAGCAGUUUAGUUGAGGACCCGUUGCUACUGGAAAUACCAUAGUGUCCAGUGAUAGAGAGGAUUAUCUAGAUGCAGGAAGGGGAUGUGAAAAUCAUAGCCAUUUUCAUACAUAGUCUGCAGCUGUAACUACUUAAAUUUUCUGUUCCAAAAACUCAUCAAGAAGCCUUAUACCUUAAAUUUAAAU
rnacentral:lncRNA from 1 species